UGGGGAAUUUUGGACAAUGGGGGCAACCCUGAUCCAGCAAUGCCGCGUGUGUGAAGAAGGCCUUCGGGUUGUAAAGCACUUUUGUCCGGAAAGAAAACGCCGUGGUUAAUACCCGUGGCGGAUGACGGUACCGGAAGAAUAAGCACCGGCUAACUACGUGCCAGCAGCCGCGGUAAUACGUAGGGUGCAAGCGUUAAUCGGAAUUACUGGGCGUAAAGCGUGCGCAGGCGGUCCGCUAAGACAGAUGUGAAAUCCCCGGGCUUAACCUGGGAACUGCAUUUGUGACUGGCGGGCUAGAGUAUGGCAGAGGGGGGUAGAAUUCCACGUGUAGCAGUGAAAUGCGUAGAGAUGUGGAGGAAUACCGAUGGCGAAGGCAGCCCCCUGGGCCAAUACUGACGCUCAUGCACGAAAGCGUGGGGAGCAAACAGGAUUAGAUACCCUGGUAGUCCACGCCCUAAACGAUGUCAACUAGUUGUCGGGUCUUCAUUGACUUGGUAACGU
rnacentral:rRNA from 1 species